GACGAACGCUGGCGGCGUGCUUAACACAUGCAAGUCGAACGGUGAAGCGCUUGCCUUUUUGGUGGGUGUGGAUGAGUGGCGAACGGGUGAGUAACACGUGAGUAACCUGCCCUCUUCUUCUGGAUAACCUCAUGAAAGUGGGGCUAAUACGGGGUAUUCCGGGUCUGUCGCAUGGCGGGUUUGGGAAAGAUUGCGCCUUUGGGUGUUUUCGGUGGGGGAUGGGCUCGCGGCCUAUCAGCUUGUUGGUGGGGUGAUGGCCUACCAGGGCGGUGACGGGUAGCCGGCCUGAGAGGGUGGACGGCCACACUGGGACUGAGACACGGCCCAGACUCCUGCGGGAGGCAGCAGUGGGGAAUAUUGCACAAUGGGCGCAAGCCUGAUGCAGCGACGCCGCGUGAGGGAUGGAGGCCUUCGGGUUGUGAACCUCUUUCGCCAGUGAAGCAGGCCUGCUCCUGUGUGGGUGGGUUGACGGUAGCUGGAUAAGAAGCGCCGGCUAACUACGUG
rnacentral:rRNA from 1 species